rnacentral:rRNA from 1 species
UACGGAGGGUGCAAGCGUUGUCCGGAUUUAUUGGGUUUAAAGGGUGCGUAGGCGGCUGAUUAAGUCAGCGGUGAAAUUCCACAGCUCAACUGUGGAACUGCCAUUGAUACUGGUUAGCUUGAGUACAGAUGAGGUAGGCGGAAUUGACGGUGUAGCGGUGAAAUGCUUAGAUAUCGUCAAGAACACCUAUAGCGAAGGCAGCUUACUAGGCUGUAACUGACGCUGAGGCACGAAAGUGUGGGGAUCAAACAGG